GAUGAACGCUGGCGGCGUGCUUAACACAUGCAAGUCGAACGGAAAGGCUCCUGCUUGCAGGGGUACUCGAGUGGCGAACGGGUGAGUAACACGUGGGUGAUCUGCCCUGCACUUCGGGAUAAGCCUGGGAAACUGGGUCUAAUACCGGAUAGGACGAUGGUUUGGAUGCCAUUGUGGAAAGUUUUUCGGUGUUGGAUGAGCUCGUGGCCUAUCAGCUUGUUGGUGGGGUAAUGGCCUACCAAGGCGUCGACGGGUAGCCGGCCUGAGAGGGUGUACGGCCACAUUGGGACUUAGAUACGGCCCAGACUCCUACGGGAGGCAGCAGUGGGGAAGAUUGCACAAUGGGCGCAAGCCUGAUGCAGCGACGCCGCGGGGGGGAUGACGGCCUUCGGGUUGUAAACUCCUUUCGCUAGGGACGAAGCGUUUUGUGACGGUACCUGGAGAAGAAGCACCGGCUAACUACGUG
rnacentral:rRNA from 1 species